rnacentral:rRNA from 1 species
AUUGAACGCUGGCGGCAGGCCUAACACAUGCAAGUCGAACGAGUGGCGGACGGGUGAGUAAUGUCUGGGAAACUGCCUGAUGGAGGGGGAUAACUCCUGGAAACGGUAGCUAAUACCGCAUACCAUCGGAUGUGCCCAGAUGGGAUUAGCUAGUAGUGGGGGUAACGGCUCACAUAGGCGACGAUCCCUCUCUGGUCUGAGAGGAUGACCAGCCACACUGGAACUGAGACCCGGUCCAGACGCCUACGGGAGUCAGCAUGGGGGAAUAUUGCACAAUGGGCGCAAGCCUGAUGCAGCCAUGCCGCGUGUAUGAAGAAGGCCUUCGGGUUGUAAAGUACGUUCAGCGGGGAGGCGUUACCCGCAGAAGAAGCACCGGCUAACUCCGUGCCAGCAGCCGCGGUAAGUC